UAACGGCGAGUGAACCGGGAUGAGCUCAAAUUUAAAAUCUGGCGUCUUUCAGGCGUCCGAGUUGUAAUCUAUAGAGGCGUUUUCCGCGCCGGACCGCGUCCAAGUCUCUUGGAAUAGAGUAUCAAAGAGGGUGACAAUCCCGUACUUGACGCGACAACCGGUGCUCUGUGAUACGUUCUCAAUGAGUCGAGUUGUUUGGGAAUGCAGCUCUAAAUGGGUGGUAAAUUCCAUCUAAGGCUAAAUAUUGGCGAGAGACCGAUAGCGAACAAGUACCGUGAGGGAAAGAUGAAAAGCACUUUGGAAAGAGAGUUAAACAGCACGUGAAAUUGUUAAAAGGGAAACGAUUGAAGUCAGUCGUGUGAAAGGUAUUCAGCCGUCUCUGGCGGUGUAUUUGCCUUUCACGGGUCAACAUCAGUUUGAUCCGGUAGAAAAAGGCGGGAGGAAGGUGGCACCCUCGGGUGUGUUAUAGCCUCCUGUCAUAUGUGCCGGACCAGACUGAGGAACGCAGCUUGCCGCAAGGCCGGGGUUCGCCCACGUACAAGCUUAGGAUGUUGACAUAAUGGCUUUAAACGACCCGUC
rnacentral:rRNA from 1 species